rnacentral:rRNA from 1 species
UACAGAGGUCUCAAGCGUUGUUCGGAUUCAUUGGGCGUAAAGGGUGCGUAGGCGGUGAGGUAAGUCGGGUGUGAAAUCCCGGGGCUCAACCCCGGAACUGCAUUCGAUACUGCUGUACUUGAGGACUGGAGAGGAGAUUGGAAUUCACGGUGUAGCAGUGAAAUGCGUAGAUAUCGUGAGGAAGACCAGUGGCGAAGGCGAAUCUCUGGACAGAUCCUGACGCUGAGGCACGAAGGCUAGGGGAGCAAACGGG